GGCAUGGGGAUUGCGAUCUCCCCACGAGGCGACAUGCUGAAGAAUCGCGUCCCGGUUAGCGCAAGGACGCAUCGUG
rnacentral:ncRNA from 1 species